UUGUUUUAGAGCGUAAGGAGCUAAAUAUUAGUACUAGAUUUGGUGGGCUAGUUGUUUCUCCGCGAGGUUCAGAGGGGAGACAAAAUGGCAGGGCGGCGGGGGCCAUGUACAUCUCCUGCCCGGCCCGCACCGACCGGCCCGCACCGCCCGGUCCCGGAGGAUCCGGACCGGUCUUCCCACACGCCCGGGACUUAAGACCUUCAGGAGGAGCCAAACAGCGCCCAACUUCCCCUUAAGGGCCGCGAGGGUCAAGGUGUAGGUGGCUGAGGGGUUUCACUGCUUAACUGAAAUAUUGUUAUGGAGAUCUGCGAAGAUACAUGUACCACACCUUUAAUGUAAAAAGUGGAAAAGAAGAACUUCGACGAAAACUCCUCCAGAAAGCAACGAAAGGAUGACGGUUUGAGCUGUGUGGGGCUUCUCUGGGAGAAGAGACGUGGACAAGCGACAGUGUUCGCUACCUUAGCCCUGUCCUGUGCCUCCUGCUGCCCCUGCCGUGCCUGUUGCAGCUGUGCCUCCAGCGAGCCUCGCUCCUCCAGCACGCCCUUCAGCUGCAGCGCCAGCUCCUCGCUGUACCGGUGUGUCUGCAUCACGAUGGUGUCCCGCUGUGCCAGCUGGUCCUCCACCACGUUCAGCGUGUUGUUGAACUGCUCGCGCAUGCUGGCUUCCUGCGACAGAGACUUGUGCAGGCUGGAGAGGAGGAAAGGUUCAGGAUUGUCAGGAACAAGUACCAGUAUCAUUCAACCACGGAACAACACACAAACAGCAUAUAUGCUGCUUAAGGACCCACAUGUACAUUUGAUAUGAAAUGCUUUACUAUAUUUUGUCUUCAAACAGAUUUAUGCAUUCUGAACUCAUGGAAACAGGAACUGAUAGCAAGCUGAGUUCAACUUAGCAAGACUACCAGCAUUAAGUAAAGCAUUGCACAUGGUUGCAAUCAAAAUUCUAUUCUACAUGUAGGUUCAGUUUAUUUCAGUACAGUUAGCUGUGCAGACUCAGAGCAAUCCCAACUUGAUCAUCUAGUAAACACCAAAGAUGUACAUGUACAUGUAUGCAGGAUUUCCCAAAUGCUAGUAGUAUAUCUGAUCCACGUUGGGGUAUCAUUUAUAGAUAAUCACGAGAAUAAAGGUAUGAAAGGAAAAUGAA